GUGGCGAACGGGUGAGUAACACGUGAGCAAUCUGCCCUUGACUCUGGGAUAACUGCGGGAAACUGUAGCUAAUACCGGAUACUUUCCUCGCUGGGCAUCCAGCGGGGAAGAAAGAAUUUCGGUCAAGGAUGAGCUCGCGGCCUAUCAGCUAGUUGGUGAGGUAAAGGCUCACCAAGGCGACGACGGGUAGCCGGCCUGAGAGGGUGACCGGCCACACUGGAACUGAGACACGGUCCAGACUCCUACGGGAGGCAGCAGUGGGGAAUAUUGCACAAUGGGCGAAAGCCUGAUGCAGCAACGCCGCGUGAGGGAUGAAGGCCUUCGGGUUGUAAACCUCUUUUAGCAGGGAAGAAGCGAAAGUGACGGUACCUGCAGAAAAAGCACCGGCUAACUACGUGCCAGCAGCCGCGGUAAUACGUAGGGUGCAAGCGUUGUCCGGAAUUAUUGGGCGUAAAGAGCUCGUAGGCGGUUUGUCACGUCUGCUGUGAAAACCCGAGGCUCAACCUCGGACUUACAGUGGGUACGGGCAGGCUAGAGUGCGGUAGGGGAGAAGGGAAUUCCUGGUGUAACGGUGGAAUGCGCAGAUAUCAGGAGGAACACCAAUGGCGAAGGCACUUCUCUGGGCCGUAACUGACGCUGAGGAGCGAAAGCGUGGGGAGCGAACAGGAUUAGAUACCCUGGUAGUCCAC
rnacentral:rRNA from 1 species